UGGGGAAUUUUGGACAAUGGGGGAAACCCUGAUCCAGCCAUCCCGCGUGUGCGAUGAAGGCCUUCGGGUUGUAAAGCACUUUUGGCAGGAAAGAAACGUCAUGGGUUAAUACCCCGUGAAACUGACGGUACCUGCAUAAUAAGCACCGGCUAACUACGUGCCAGCAGCCGCGGUAAUACGUCGGGUGCAAGCGUUAAUCGGAAUUACUGGGCGUAAAGCGUGCGCAGGCGGUUCGGAAAGAAAGAUGUGAAAUCCCAGAGCUCAACUUUGGAACUGCAUUUUUAACUACCGGGCUAGAGUGUGUCAGAGGGAGGUGGAAUUCCGCGUGUAGCAGUGAAAUGCGUAGAUAUGCGGAGGAACACCGAUGGCGAAGGCAGCCUCCUGGGAUAACACUGACGCUCAGGCACGAAAGCGUGGGGAGCAAACAGG
rnacentral:rRNA from 1 species